rnacentral:rRNA from 1 species
UUAGAGAGCCGGCGUAAUAAUCUCCACACGUGUUUUACGCGCGUCUCUAUGGACAAGUCCCUUGGAACAGGGCAGCGUAGAGGGUGAAAAUCCCGUACUUGCCAUGGAAGUACCGUGCUUUGUGAUACACGCUCUAAGAGUCGAGUUGUUUGGGAUUGCAGCUCAAAGUGGGUGGUAGACUCCAUCUAAAGCUAAAUAUCGGGGAGAGACCGAUAGCGAACAAGUACCGUGAGGGAAAGAUGAAAAGCACUUUGGAAAGAGAGUUAAAAGUACGUGAAAUUGUCGAAAGGGAAGCACUUGAAGUCAGCCAUGCUGCUCGAGACUCAGCCUGGCUUUUGCUUGGUGUAUUUCUCGGGAAGAAGACCCCAUUGGGUUGUGACCUCCGAAAAAACAAUGGAGGAAGG